GACGAACGCUGGCGGCGUGCUUAACACAUGCAAGUCGAACGAUGAAGCCGGAGCUUGCUCCGGUGGAUUAGUGGCGAACGGGUGAGUAACACGUGAGCAAUCUGCCCUUGACUCUGGGAUAACUGCGGGAAACUGUAGCUAAUACCGGAUACGACACCUUGGGGCAUCCCAGGGGGUGGAAAGAAUUUCGGUCAAGGAUGAGCUCGCGGCCUAUCAGCUGGUUGGUGAGGUAAUGGCUCACCAAGGCGACGACGGGUAGCCGGCCUGAGAGGGUGACCGGCCACACUGGAACUGAGACACGGUCCAGACUCCUACGGGAGGCAGCAGUGGGGAAUAUUGCACAAUGGGCGAAAGCCUGAUGCAGCAACGCCGCGUGAGGGAUGAAGGCCUUCGGGUUGUAAACCUCGUUUAGCAGGGAAGAAGCGAAAGUGACGGUACCUGCAGAAAAAGCACCGGCUAACUACGUGCCAGCCGCCGCAGUAA
rnacentral:rRNA from 1 species